UACGUAGGGGGCAAGCGUUGUCCGGAUUUAUUGGGCGUAAAGAGCGUGUAGGCGGCCUGACAGGUCUGCUGUGAAAAACUCGAGGCUCAACCUCGAGAUGUCGGCGGAAACCGUCUGGCUAGAGUCCGGAAGAGGAGAGUGGAAUUCCUGGUGUAGCGGUGAAAUGCGCAGAUAUCAGGAAGAACACCUAUGGCGAAGGCAGCUCUCUGGGACGGUACUGACGCUGAGGAGCGAAAGCGUGGGGAGCGAACAGG
rnacentral:rRNA from 1 species